AUUGAACGCUGGCGGCAGGCUUAACACAUGCAAGUCGAGCGAGCGGCGGACGGGUGAGUAAUGUCUGGGAAACUGCCCGAUGGAGGGGGAUAACUACUGGAAACGGUGGCUAAUACCGCAUACUAUCAGAUGAGCCCAGAGGGGAUUAGCGAGUAGGUGGGGUAAAGGCUCACCUAGGCGACGCUCCCUAGCUGGUCUGAGAGGAUGAACAGCCACACUGGGACUGAGAAACGGUCCAGACUCCUACGGGAGGCAGCAGUGGGGAAUAUUGCACAACGGGCGCAAGCCUGAUGCAGCCAUGCCGCGUGUAUGAAGAAGGCCUUAGGGUUGUAAAGUACUUUCAGCGGGGAGGCGUUACCCGCAGAAGAAGCACCGGCUAACUCCGUGCCAGCAGCCGCGGUAAUUC
rnacentral:rRNA from 1 species